CAGCGCUCCCCAUUGGUCGGCGCCCCCAGCCUAUGGGCAGCGCCCGCGCCGCGCUCUCCACCAAUGGCCGUGCCGCCGGCGCCGCGCCCCUCCCCUGUCGCUAAGGGAGGGAAAUACAGCGAGCUGGGGCGCGGGCUGGCAGGACUUCUCUGAUGAUUCAGGAAUAAGCGUUGGGAACAUUCGGUGCUUUCCAUGGGAGGAAGACGCAAGCCAGCCAGGCCCCGGUUCCCUGCCAUCUUGAGCCUUUCCUGGUGAUUUGCUGCAGCACAGAUAAGUAUAAAGCACUGAGGGACUGGAGUCACUGUUUAAACCUGACUUCAUUUCAGUGUAAAUGACCACAUGAGACUGAGAUCAGCAGAGAAUCAGGGGUGAAAGAGCAGAGGUGUUUAAGGUGCCUCUUCUAAAAGUACACUUUUGAGUAUUUGGUGAUUAAUGAGGUUUUUGGAAAAGUCUUCUCUCCACAUGUGUUUAUGUUUAUGUGUCCUAACAGAAGGUGAUGCGCUAUCUUACGUGCCAGAUAGGCUUUGGAUGAAUGUGCAUCACCUUACUGAUUUCAGGGGUGCUGUAUUAAUACAAGUUAGUGAAGAAAGUAAUCCAGCUAAGUUUAAAAUAAUUGGAAUAAUAUUCUCCAUCUCUUUCAGUCAGAUUUGCCUUUCAUGUUAACGUGUGUUUCAUAAUCCUAUAGCUCUCCAUUUCAUCAGUACCAGACCAGGAUCUCUAUUGUAAAAAAUGAGCAGGGAAAAAGAAGAAGAAAAAAAAACACCUCAAAAGGCAGUCUUUUUACUUUACAAUCUUUAUUUUCAUGUUUAAAUAAAUUUAGGGCACAAGCUCAUCCUAUUUUUUUUAAUGGGCAAAUUUAGCGUUGUUCUCUUAGACUGAUAUUUUAUAAAGCCAGAAGGUUUCAGAAGGAGAAUGUGUUCAGUGCACCAGAACCCUUUAGAGUUUUGAUAAAAGACACGAUAUCGUGAGUAACAUUUCCACUUCUGUUAUUCUUCUUAUAUAGUACUGACAAGAUUGAAUCACCAUUUUUAGCUAUUCUUCAGCAGAACUCGUAAUCUAUCAAUGUGUCAGCUCAACAGCAGUUUUCUCUUCGCACUAAUGUGAACCAGAAGGUCCAGAUAUCACUGAUUUUGACAAUUUUAUUUUAUCUGAGAUUGCAUAUAUUGCAGAACUUCGAAGAAAAUGAAUUACAGAACCUAUUAUGUUUUCCUAAAGAUGUACAAGACAUAAAACAUGUCCUCUAAAACAUUUUACACUCAUUUGUACAGGAUCACAUUCCUAAGUUCGGUGUUUCAUAAGCAUUAGGCUAUAAGCACUUCAAAAUAACAAGUUUAAGAUCACAUGUGGGUCCUGUAUCUUUUUAAAUGUCUCACAUUGCCCUCUGUGUUGUUACAUAAUGCAUCAUAAAGAAAUACGUGCCUUCAUUCUGCUUAAAUCGCUCGGGCAUGGAUAGUGCUAAGCCUUCUUGCAAGUCCUUGUUAUGCAAGUCCUUGCUACUGGUUAAUAGCUGUCAGCUCUGCGUGCUUACUUAAAAAACAAGGUAACUGCAGACUUUUCGUGAAGCUCAUUGCGUUUCUGGAGUUCACAAUGAGUCAGUUCCCGUUGCUUUGCUCCCUUCCUCAUCUAUAAAUUAAAUUAUUACGAACAAACAGGUUUUUCCCCAUUAGAAGAAUGUCCCAUUCAUUCCACUGUAUCACAACAUAAUCUGCUUUUUCUUUAGUUGCAUCUAUAAGCAUACCACAUUAUGAGUAUCUGAAUACACUUCUGCAGUGUCAAAGCACAAGUGGAAUAGACCAGAAUAAAAUAAUAUUUUUGAAAGUCUGUCAAAAAAAUUCAGACAUAAAACUAAAUACUGAAAAAAUACGUAGGAUAGUAAAAAUCCAUGAGCAAUUUAACAAAGUGAAAAGAUAGCAAAUAAUCCACAUAGGCACUAGGUAAUAUUAUGUAAAGUAAAAUCUGUGUUACACAGUAUUAGCAGCAUUCAAAUGAAAUUGAUGAGGCAUCUGUAAAGAGCAGAAAGACUCAUUUUUAAAGCUAGGAUUUUUCGAUGUUCUGUAUUUCUUUACUUGGGAAGUGGAAUUUUCCUUCUCUUUUUGUAAAGGCACAAAAUUAACAACAAGCACUUUAAAGAAUUAGGUGCAUUGCCUGGUAUUUAUACAUUUUUUUCCUCUAUCAAGCAUAGAUCAGUUUUGGAAGAAAAUCAGGAGAAACAUAGCUGCAUUUGCCGAUAUCAUAGAGAUUUUUCCAAGUAGCCUCUCCUUUAACAAGGCCUCGGUUUUAAAGAUACUGAAAUAGGAAUAUCCCAAUAUUCAUAAUACUGACUACAUAAAGAAAAAAUUUGCUCUCGGUUUAUAGUUGUAUAAGUAGGCAAGUAGUAAUUCAGUGUAGUGUCACCAGAAAAGGAGGGCUCUCUUUCAUAUUCCAUUUAUCAGUUUAACAAUCCCAUAUUGCAUUUUUACAUUUUUUCCCUUCUGUUGCUCUUGAAAAUUUGGGGCUCUAAAUUAUUUGCUUAUUUCCCUUCUCCUAGUAGUAAUCAUUUUAAAAGGUCCAACUAUGUUCUGUUCUGGUUUUGGUACAACAUGUGAAAAAUAAUAUUUUUUAUUUCUUUUGUAAACAGGUCAGGGGAGAGGUCUGCACUGUAAAAUGGUAUACCUACAAAAUUGUACUCGGGUGGAAGAUUAAAUAAGAAAGAAUAGCUGAGAGAAGUCAUUUGUCACAGAUGUUUGUGCAGUUCUGUGUUUUGUUUUAAGCUGAAUUCAUCAAACAUACUAAGGAGUAAUUUAUGUCUGAUACAAAGUUUUCAUCCAAGGAGCCUAAGUAGGUUAAGUUUAAACUGUCAUUUGAAAAUACAGGGAAAUUCUAUGGACACACACAAGAAAGUAAAUUGGAGAAUGCUAUUUUUGCAGCCUCUUAAUUGAGUAUUGAGGCAAAAUGUAUCAGAAUUAAGUUGCUGUAGAACAUAGUUACUUUAGUUACAAAAUGUUUUUGUCUACCAAGCACAAAUACUUUACCAUAAAUGUUUGAAUUCUAUAGAUUAUAAAGGGCGCCUAAUCACAAAACACUGAUAUGAUCAUAUCUGAUGCUGAAGUGGCAUAUACUGCUUUUACAAUAUUUCAGAAGUUUAUAACAUAAGUUUAGUAAUUAAACUUAGAAAAAAAUGAACAAGAUAAGCACUAGCACUUUUUUUUUUCUCUUUUUUUGAGGUGGGUUGAUUAUUGGAUUUGAUAAAGUAGAACACAAAUGAGAAGGCCCAGGAGUUGGAUUAGUUCAAAAAGGGAAUUUUAAAAAAUGAGUAUCAAACUCAUUCUUAGUUCCUUAUUAGUUGCUAUCUCUUUUAAUACAAUUUUCCCUUUUGUAAGUUUCUUUCUCUCUUCCCUCAUGAAUUCUAUGCUUCUGCCCCAAAAAGGAGAAAUAUAAUGGCUACAAUUAACUUCAGUUUAUUGGAGCAAAAUUAUUUUUUUUCCUCAAACAAAAAUAUAUGUAUUAAUUUGCUAGAUUUCCAGCAAGUUUUACAUACAUUAUUUCUGAGAAUAAGGAUACCCACUUUAUGCAGCUUGCUACAGUAUAGUAGCUGUAAUCUAGCAUUUUUCUCUUUUGUAAUCAGAUAGUCAGAAUUGACAGCCUGUUUGCUUUUAAGUGCCUGAAAACUAACUUGGUAACACUGUUUUUAAUACAAUAAAUAUGGCAUUUCAGUCUGCACUUCCUUUUUUAGUUUUCUAAGUAAAUGUUGACCAGACCGAUUAUCAGAAAAAUCAAGGCUUACAUAAUCAAGCCAUACAUUUUUAUACUCUUCUUUCCCUUCCCCCACUUCAGCCUUCAUUUUUCUCAAAAAAAUGAAAAUUUUCAAUUAGAAAAUUACGAUGAUAUACUAAUGGUAGACACACUUUCAUGAGACUGCGUAACUAAGCUAUUUGUAUGAAUUCAGUAAAAGAAGGCAGUAAACAAAAUACUAAAACCUUGAGAUAGCUAACCUUUGAAAUUACAGUAAUUAUUAAAUUCAGCAUUAUCUAGUGUGAUGUACGUGGCUGUGUGCCUUUGAGUCUCAUUUCUUUGCUUGGAGAAAUAGGGUACUUCUCUUUAUUCCUUAGUCAGAAUAAUAAAAAUAAGAACAUCCUACCCCCUUUUUUUUUUUACUCACCGUAAAGCUGAUGCUCCUUCAUAAAAGCGUUGGUUUAAAUAUUCAGCUUUCGGAGGAUGUUAAAUGAUUGCUGUGGAAAAAGUAUAUAGCAAAUGAAUUGAAACUCUGUCCUGCUAAAAUAAUUACAAAUUGAAUUAAUUGGAAAGAAUAGUAUUAAAAUUUCAUCGAAAUAUGUUAACAUGAACUCCUGCCCAUAGGUGGCAGUCAGCCUUCACAGUCGUAGGGAUGCCAAACUUUUGGUUCAUGGUAUUCAUGCUUAUGCUGAAAUGAAUUUGAUUGGGUAUGCGUAUGUGCAUGUACAGAACUAUUUAGAUGUCUGUUCUGGGAGAGAGGGAAAGAAAUAAAAUGUUAAAAUGAAUUAUUAAUUAGGAGAAAUCCUAAUUACCAUAUAUAAGCAAAAUAAAUUAUAAUUUCCUGGAGAAAAUAUCUAAGUAAAAACACACACCUUAAAGAAUCAGUAAUAAUUCAGAAACAAGCAGGUGCCCCUACAAAUUGAGUAGAAAGGCAAGUAUCUUGCCAGCCUCAGAGAGCAUGACCUCAUCCUGUGCCCAGUCCUCUGAACUACAUUUCUAUUUCAUAGUCCAUUGUCUGCAAAUUACAGAAGUGCUGCAGUGAUGACAUUCUGUGCUAGAAAUCCCAGCAACACGCUUCUGUAAGCAUACAGCAAAUACAGAAAAGGUACUAGGAACGAGUGUAUCCUUUCUGCCGUGGAGAGCCAGUCAACCUGUGGCCUGUGAUUCCGAUUCUCUUCACAGAGCUUCCAUUGACACCCGUGGCAGCACUGCACAAGGGGAAGAUGCUGCCAAGGAGAGCAGAGAUCCACUCAAUUUUGCCCUCAGCUUCUUUAGGGCUUUAUGUGGUUUAUGAGGAUUUCCUUUUGCAAUAUAACUAAGGAGGCACUUGGGACCCCACCAAAACUGGAGGGGAUAGAAGGAGCUAAUAAGGCCAAGUUGUCUCAGUCUAAAACAAACAGAGCUGGUGAAACUACGUGUGACAUACUAAGGCUAUAGAGCUCUCGUGAGAAAAGAAGACUGAAAACUAAAAUGCCCGAGUAGGUAAAGUCAUAUUCUUUUUACUAUUAGAGCUACGCUGGGAUUCUUUUCAGUUAAGAUUAAUCUAAUUCUGUGUCAAAGUAGUCCACUGUAUACAUUUAACUCAAUCCAGGAACUAACACCUUAGAAAAUGGAAAAUUUGAAAAAUACACCAUUAUUUGUUGCUACAGGAAUGCUGUAUUUUGAUGCAAGAUUAAGGGCUCAGAAUUGAACAGGAUGGUGCAGCAUUAUUAAAACAGAAGGCCUAAUUCUCCUUAUGCAAGAGUAGCAACUACAAACAUCGUUGUAUAAGCCGAAGCAGUCAGUAUGAUUUCGUAGUCAAACAGGGUAUUUCCACAUACAUGCAACCACUACAUGACUAAUUAGAUACUUGCAUAUGUGCAGCCCCAUUUAUUCCCCAACUAUAAUAAUUAUGAGAAUUGCACUUCACAUUAAUUUACACUCUUGUGUAACACAAUUGAAUGCAAGAUAGCAGGUGGUGAUAAACUGGCUGGUGGGAAAUAUGUUAAUUUGAUAUGCAUUUGGAAAAUCAAAGCUUUCAGACUCAGUUCUGGUCUUGACAUAGGAAAGACUGGUGAAGACCUCCUCAGUCAUAGGCUCUGAUCCCAGCUUUUGUGGACAUCCAUGUUGUACCAUGCAAGUUAUUUGCAGAGGUAUCGAACUCCAUCUUGAAAGUACCCUAGUCAUAAGGUUGCUCCUAAUUUCCAUUCCUCUAAAUGGUUAAAGAUUUCUAAUAACAUGUAGUCAAAACCAGCUGACGCCCUCGUGUUCUGUAAACGUCUUUGACUUCAGUUUAAAUAGCCUUUCUCUCUCCCUAAGUAAAAAGUCCUUUCUAACCUGUCACCCUUUGAGCUUUCAUAGAUUACUUGCUUUUCAUAUCUUACUCCCCAAACCUACUCAGCCUUAGUUCUGCCAAAAUAACUGUGCUGUACCUGUCACAGAAGAGGAUGCCUUUACCCCAGCCAUUUUUUAACCCUUCUUUGCACCUUUUCCACUUCAGUAAAUCUUUUUUCAACAUGCUGAAUUAGAAGUAUGCACAGUAUUCCAGGUAAGAUCUUGUCAGGGCCUUUCAUGGUGGCAUUAACACCUUCCUAGCCCUGCUAGAAAUACAGCAACUAGUAUUCUGAUAUUUUAACUUUUUUUUUUAAUUCUUUGCAGAGCUACAUGCUACCAGUAUCUCACAGGCCCUGAGGACUAAAUGAGACACCUAGCUUACCUUUUUUUAUGGAUGCUGAUAGCUAAAGUGCUUGUUACUCAUUCCAAGGUUAUGACCUUGACCUUUACACUAUUAUAAUGGUAUUGCAUGACAAGGGUGUCAAAAAGCUUUUUACAAGAAGGGUGUCAUCAGUUUCAUCCAAGCCCCAGGCUUCCUGUGAGUUUUCUGGCAUGCCCAGAUUUGUUCAGGAAUCUCUACACUUUGCACGACUAUCGACGUGAGCUGGUACAUGCACCUGAUAUGGUGAAGGACUACAGAUAAACCAGAUUGGCUCGUGAAACAGAGUUCUCUUGAGUAUUGCAUUACCUCUGGCACAUCACAGUACGUUAUUUCCAGGGUUGCAUUACAAAUUCCCCUUGCCCCAAAGAGCUCUCCCUCUCCAACUCCCACAGCUUUUCUCUCCUGUGCCACUCAGGUACCUGUGGAAAACUGUGGCCAGCGAGUAAGCAGAUCCUUCACAAGACACAAAGAGUGAUUGUGGAACUGGUGUUCUGCCAGCAGGUCUGCCAUAUGUAUGAUGAAUGCUAACAUUUUUCACCACUGUAAGGCAGCAGCAAGCAUUUUUAAGCACAAUGAUCAAUUUUGUUCUCUAGCAUCUAGUUGAACAUCAGUAAAUACGUUAUUAAGAGGCUUGACAGUGUGCUCCUUAGCAAUCAAGGCCAAGAUGUAGCCAGAUACUCAUCUUAAUCUCUGCAGACACAUUUCAAAUGAAUUUUUACAGUGCCUGGAACAAAGGUCCCUGGUUUGAAGGGGGACACCUGGAUGAUAAAAGCAAAUUAGAAUUAAUAAUGCAUUGUGUUUACGGUGGCAAAUUGUCAUCUAAAGACAGUGGUAAAAGCUUGUAGUAUAGGCUACUGCUAGAAUCCUAUUAACAAAAUUGCUUGCUUUAAAUCACUCUCAAGGCUUAAGGUAGGAUGUUCUCUUGUAGGCAAUGCUUUCUCUUGAAUAUUUGUAUUUGACUCCCUAUUUAUGUUCUAGCAAGAAACUAGUCAAUACUGAGAGGAACUGUAUUUUGAAAUAACUCCAUUCUAUCGCAAUAUUUUUGUUAUCAUUCCAUCCUAUAACGUUACAGAUAAACUUCCACUUGUACUCAGCAGAAAUACAGGACAAGGGCAAGGCUCUAUACCUGCUGCAGAGUUGUGUCCAGGGAGGAAGGAAAUACUAACUUUGGAUAAGUCUGCUGUCUCCUUGACUACUCAGUCCUCUACUUCUCUGAGAGAUCAGCCUAUACUUCUACAAUGUCAACUUUCUGAUCUUCUGUUUGCUGAAGUACCUUUGACAGGAGUAACAUUAUUCCCAUUUUUAUUUUUGUGAUUCUUUAGAGUUUCUUACAGAACCUGAGAAGUUCAGUGAGCUCUACCAUAUAUGAAGGUCAAACACAGCAACGUAUGCUACAGAAAUGGAUUUUAGUUUUCAUUGAAAUUCACAUUUCUAGUCAACCUCAGUUCACUACUAAAGCAUUUUGGUUUCCUUUGUCAUCUAGAUUUUCUUUUUCUUUUCAAAAAUGAUUGAAACGUCGGUGGAAUCCUGGCCUCAUUGCAGCACUGCAAAGCGUACAGACAGCCACACUGAAAUGAGGGCCAAAGUUGUUUGAAGCUCAAGUGAAAGCAGUUUGGGUAGUGUAGUUGGCUUACUGCAGCCUUCUCAACUAUGUACUUCAGAAAGCCGUGUAACCGAUAUGGAAAAAAAAAUAAAAUUAAAAAGCCCCACAUUUAUCACCUUGUACAAUGUAACCACAAAGCUUUUGAUUAAUAAUAAAAAAGACUGAAUUAAAAA